UUUUUGUUCCUGUUAUACAGGCAGACAGCUUAUGAUUUGCUACUAUAGCUUCUCAAGUUGAAACUUGUAUCUGCCUGAUAUAUUCAGAUUUUGAAACAGUGUUAUUUACUGAGAAGGAAGUAAAGUUGAUAUAAUAUGUAUCUCCUGAACUCAUUGUAAGGAAGCCUUCAGGAUUUUCAAGAAAAACAGCAACACUGAAAAAAAGUUUAAAAGAGAAAACCAAGAAAUUAAAGAAGAGGGCUGAAUCCACUCAUACUGGAUGGAAGAAGAAAAGAUGACUUAUCUGCUGAGAAGCUUAUGAGCGGCUACAAGCCCUCUCUACCCAAGUUUAGUCAGUCUGGAAUCCCAGAGAAUUAAUGACAUCUGGAACUACCUUCAAGCUAUUAUCCCUCAGUGGCAUAAUCUGAAUUAUGUGUUCUACAUAGGAUCCCAGAGUUUCCCAGUUGAAUGAAGCCCC
ensembl:lincRNA